ensembl:lncRNA
UAUAUUCUCUCUCUUUCAUAUUUUUUUUUCUUUUUAGUGCUGCACCUGCGGCAUAUGGAAGUUUCCAGGCUAGGGGUUGAAUUGGAGCUGCAGCUGCCAGCCUACGCCACAGCCACAGCAACUCCAGAUCUGAGCCACGUCUGCAACCUACACCACAACUCAUGGCAAUGCCCUAUCCUUAACCCAUUGACUGCGUCUGUGACCUACAGCACAGCUCACGGCAACGCUGGAUCCUUAACCCACUGAGCAAGGCCACGGAUUGAACCCGCAACCUCAUGGUUCCUGGUCGGAUUCAUUAACCACUGCGCCACAACAGGAACUCUGUGUCUGGUUUCUUUCAUCAUAAUAAUUUUGAAUGGAUCAAUAAGUACCGUAAAUGAAUAUUUACUUUUCUUAUCUAGUAAGAUUAAACCUU